GACCUCGCCCUCGGAGAAGGUCAGCUCGUCUGGGUUGUCGGCAGCACAGUUGUAGAUGGCUUUCACUCGCUUCGGCCUCUGCUUCUGCGAGACGGAACCAAAGCACACAGACAGGAGAUUUAGGUGGCACUGCUCUGGACCCCAGUGGUCCCUGGCUCGACUUGGACUGCAUGCUCAUGGACUCCAUCUUGGCCACAGGAGGACCCAGACCUGGCACACAGUAACACACCUUAUGACCUUCUGUCAUAGUGAACACUUCACUGGACAUUUGGUUUUAGUGAUGCAUAUAUCUUGCAUGCUAAAUGAUUAAUCCCAAUAAAGAGAUGAAUGGUU